rnacentral:rRNA from 1 species
AUGAACGCUAGCUACAGGCUUAACACAUGCAAGUCGAGGGGCAGCAUGAACUUAGCUUGCUAAGUUUGAUGGCGACCGGCGCACGGGUGAGUAACACGUAUCCAACCUGCCGAUGACUCGGGGAUAGCCUUUCGAAAGAAAGAUUAAUACCCGAUGGCAUAGUUCUUCCGCAUGGUAGAACUAUUAAAGAAUUUCGGUCAUCGAUGGGGAUGCGUUCCAUUAGGUUGUUGGCGGGGUAACGGCCCACCAAGCCUUCGAUGGAUAGGGGUUCUGAGAGGAAGGUCCCCCACAUUGGAACUGAGACACGGUCCAAACUCCUACGGGAGGCAGCAGUGAGGAAUAUUGGUCAAUGGACGAGAGUCUGAACCAGCCAAGUAGCGUGAAGGAUGACUGCCCUAUGGGUUGUAAACUUCUUUUAUACGGGAAUAAAGUGAGGCACGUGUGCCUUUUUGUAUGUACCGUAUGAAUAAGGAUCGGCUAACUCCGUGCCAGCAGCCGCGGUAAUACGGAGGAUCCGAGCGUUAUCCGGAUUUAUUGGGUUUAAAGGGAGCGUAGGCGGACGCUUAAGUCAGUUGUGAAAGUUUGCGGCUCAACCGUAAAAUUGCAGUUGAUACUGGGUGUCUUGAGUACAGUAGAGGCAGGCGGAAUUCGUGGUGUAGCGGUGAAAUGCUUAGAUAUCACGAAGAACUCCGAUUGCGAAGGCAGCCUGCUGGACUGUAACUGACGCUGAUGCUCGAAAGUGUGGGUAUCAAACAGGAUUAGAUACCCUGGUAGUCCACACAGUAAACGAUGAAUACUCGCUGUUUGCGAUAUACAGUAAGCGGCCAAGCGAAAGCGUUAAGUAUUCCACCUGGGGAGUACGCCGGCAACGGUGAAACUCAAAGGAAUUGACGGGGGCCCGCACAAGCGGUGGAGUAUGUGGUUUAAUUCGACGCAACGCGAAGAACCUUACCAGGUCUUGACAUCCACUUAAACUUACAGAGAUGUAAGGUGUGCUUGCACAAAGUGAGACAGGUGGUGCAUGGUUGUCGUCAGCUCGUGUCGUGAGAUGUUGGGUUAAGUCCCGCAACGAGCGCAACCCCUGUACUUAGUUGCCAGCAUGUAGAGAUGGGAACUCUAAGUAGACUGCCGCGAAUAACGCGGAGGAAGGUGGGGAUGACGUCAAAUCAGCACGGCCCUUACGUCCGGGGCUACACACGUGUUACAAUGGGGGGUACAGAAGGCAGCUACACGGCGACGUGAUGCUAAUCCCUAAAGCCUCUCUCAGUUCGGAUUGGAGUCUGCAACCCGACUCCAUGAAGCUGGAUUCGCUAGUAAUCGCGCAUCAGCCACGGCGCGGUGAAUACGUUCCCGGGCCUUGUACACACCGCCCGUCAAGCCAUGAAAGCCGGGGGUACCUGAAGUGCGUAACCGCAAGGAGCGCCCUAGGGUAAAACUGGUGAUUGGGGCU